UUCUGCCUACGGGAGGCAGCAGUGGGGAAUAUUGGGCAAUGCGCGCAAGCCUGACCCAGCAACGCCGCGUGAAGGAAGAAGGCUUUCGGGUUGUAAACUUCUUUUCUCAGGGACGAACAGAUGACGGUACCUGAGGAAUAAGCCACGGCUAACUACGUGCCAGCAGCCGCGGUAAUACGUAGGUGGCAAGUGUUAUCCGGAUUUACUGGGUGUAAAGGGAGUGUAGGCGGGGAAGGAAGGUAGAUGUGAAAA
rnacentral:rRNA from 1 species